CCUACGGGUGGCAGCAGUGAGGAAUAUUGGUCAAUGGGCGGAAGCCUGAACCAGCCACGUAGCGUGCAGGAUGACGGCCCUCCGGGUUGUAAACUGCUUUUAUACGGGAAUAACGCGCCUUACGUGUAGGGCUUUGCAUGUACCGUAUGAAUAAGGACCGGCUAAUUCCGUGCCAGCCGCCGGGGUAAUACGGUAGGGACGGGCGUUAUCCGGAUUUAUUGGGUUUAAAGGGAACGUAGGCCGCAUGUCAAGCGUUAUGUGAAGUGUCCGGGCUCAACCCGGGCCUUGCAGCGCGAACUGGCGUGCUUGAGUCCGCGGAAAGCAGGCGGAAUGCGUCGUGUAGCGGUGAAAUGCUUAGAUAUGACGAAGAACCCCGAUUGCGAAGGCAGCUUGCUGCAGCGUAACUGACGCUGAUGCUCGAAAGCGCGGGUAUCGAACAGGAUUAGAUACCCUGGUAGUC
rnacentral:rRNA from 1 species